GGAUUAAAAAAAAACAUUUCUUACAAAAUUGUAAAACUCAAAAAUGAGUAUAAUCCA
rnacentral:tRNA from 1 species